UGUGGCCUCUUGUUUGGCUCGUGGCGUGACCGUGAUGAAGAAAUGUUUCUGGGCGCCUGGCAGGGUGCUCUUUCUAUGUCAUGAGUCAGGAUUUUGCCAACGGAAGGAGUCCGCGCAGCGAGAACCGCGGGCCGCCGCUCUCCGGACCGGGAAGCCGCCAGGGAUCCCCGCUCCGCCUCGGGGAGCCGCCGGGCACCGGCACGCGUAAAAUGGACAGUUUCUACUGUGAUGGAUGGUGAGGGUGGCCCCAGCACCACUGCUCCUAGAGCGUCCCGCAGUGCCCAGCAUCAGCAAUGGGACAGCUGGGAUCCGUUUGUUUGAAAAGCAAGGAGGAGUUUAGAGAAGAUGAAAAGAUGGCAGUAUGUUUGGAAUCAAAAUCCAUUUUUCUUGAGAAAGAAACUGUCACAAAUUAUUGAAAAGAUAAUAUUUAGAAAGAUCGACUCCAAU